GCAAAACAUGACACUAGAGAACUUGCUGACAAAAACAUCUGGAAAAGUGCACCGUCACCUAAAAAAUGAUCUGAAAAAUACUAGGAUAAUAAGUGGCGCUAAUGCACCAUAAGAAGAAGAAGAAGAAGAAGAAGAAGAAGAAGACCACCGCAUUCUGUUUGACAGCGUCGCCGGGAAGUGCAGGUGGCACAAAAGUUCCCGCAACAAUUUGAAAAUAGGAUAAAACAAAGGAUACCAGAAGCAUCCAGUUAUUGUUUCGUGAUUCAGAAAGUGUUUAAUAUCUGGAGCAGGGUCACUGAUACUCGCACUACGAGACUAAACACUGCAAGUAGCAACAGGCCCAUUGUUGAGAUAACACCAUGAAGUUGGUUUUAAGCACAGGAGUCCUUCUGAUUGUUCACCUGUUAAUCCUGCAGUGCCAGGGUUUUACCGUCAGAUACAUCUUAGUUAAUGAACCUGUGACCUUCCCAUGUAUCUGCUCUGGAAACCAACCAGUGGUUCUGUGGAUCCGCUUCAUUCCCAGUAGUGCUGUCAUUGCCAAGUGUGACAGCCAGACAUGUUGGAUUGAACAGUAUUUUCAGAAAAGGUUUGCAGUAUCAGGAGAUACCAGCAGCGGAAAUUACUCCAUAAGUAUCAGUUCAGUCGUCUACACUGAUGCCGGUUCCUACAGGUGCAGCUGUGAUGGACAUUCAGUUACUGAAGAAAAGCUUCAGGUGUAUGUUCCAACAGUCAUAAAGACAUUUGAGGGGGAGAACGUCACCCUCCCCUGCUAUGGAGACACUCGGGUUGAUGCCAUGAAUGUACAGUGGAAGAAAGGUGAAGAAACAGUGCUGGAAAUCACUUCUGUGACUACCGGCGACGUCUCAGCAGGCAGAUGUUCGAUCUCAAAAGAAGGUUAUCAAGAUGGCGACCUCUCACUCCACAUUAGUUCAGUUAACCGGUCUGAUGCUGAAUUUUAUCGGUGCCUUAUUCACGAUGAAUCUCGUGAUGGAGACCCACGUGCUGUUCUACUAAAGAACGCCGACCUGAGCACCAACCACCCCCAGCCUGCAACAGCAACACAGAAGCAGCAUUAGCAGUAAUACUAGCAGUAACACUAACACUGGUCAUCCUCGGAGUGAUUAUUUACUGUGUGAGAAGAUUCAAAGUAACUAAGAAUAAGGCAUCCACCGAUCCAGGGCCUCCUGUUCAAGAGGAAAACCAAAUGAUCCCAAAGCCUUCUUCAACACGGAGAUUCCAGGACUAGUUCAUAGUCAAAGAUCUGCCACACUGUUUUUUUUUUUUUUUUAAACUUUUCUUAUGAAGGGAAGCAAAAUUAGAUAUUAAGGGAUUAGAAAUCUUUAAAAACAUAGAAAUUCAGCAAAGCUGUAGGAAUGCCAUGGUGGUGUCUAGGGAUGUCACAAUACCAAAAAUCUAGUAGUCGGUACCAACACCACCAAAAGUACAUGAUACUCGAUACCAAAGUCGAUACCAUGGUGUGGUAUAAAAAUGAAAUUAAAAACUCUCCUGGAGGACAUCCUCCUCUGGCUGAUACUGGCAAAAAAAAAAAAAAAAAAGAGAGGGAGGGAUAUUAUAGUUAUCAAACACUGUCUGACAAUGAGUGGAGUGACUCCUAAACUCGUGCACGCAUGUACACACACACACACACACACACACACACACACACACACACAUCCUUAUACUGUGAAUGCAAGCAUUAGUUUAAAUUCACUGAUAUGCUGGCAGGCCAAAAAGAUUUAUUAAAAGCAUGAACACUAGAAUAAUUGUUAGUGACAUUAGGCUACAUUUUGCUGACAGGACACGGGCUGAAUGGCGAUGCAUGGAGGCCCAUUAGGAGGUAGUUUAUAACACUGCAAUGUGUUCGCGUCGUUAACAAAUAACUGGCUAUCGCAAACAUUACAUGGAGCAUAACGUUAGCUGGUUUAACGGCCACAAUGCCAGCUGCCUCAAACAAACAAACAAACAAACAAAUAAUAUACAACCUGUGUUUCAGGUGCUUCGCCAAAUUUCGCCAAAUAUAUGUUUGUUGUCAUCCGCCUCGAAUGCGGAGUAUUUCUAUAUUCCAGACCACCUUUCCUCUCAACGAGUCACGGUGGAGCUAAACUUCUGUAGUUUUUCCCGUGUGUUUGUAGUUGUUGUUCUUCACCAUUUGUGGACCGGCUAAAAGACGUGCGCUUAUUUGCUCCCCCCGGUCAGGUUUGGAAGAAUUGCAAACCGGUACUUUCAUUAGAAACGGUACCAACACUACUGCAGAAAAACAAGUUCAGUCACAUUUUAAGAAUGUUGGUACCGACUUGGUACCAGAGUAUCAGUUCUCGUGACAUCCCUAGUGGUGCCUAAUGGUGGUGUCUAAGCAUGGUGUAGUUAGUUCUCUUUGUUCUGGUGUGCCGAUAUUCCUGCUUUAUUUCAGUCAUUUUUGCAGUUCACAUGAAAGAAAUGUGAACUCGGACUUUGAAAGAGCCAGUUUUACAUGCACUAUGAACUGAGCCAUAUGGUUAUACCGUAAAUAAUCAUGAUGUAUAUUUAUACAUGCUGUAUGUACAGGUACAUCUUUUAAAAAAUUGAAUAUUGUGGAAAAGUUAUUUUUUACUGUAAUUUAAUUCAAAAAGUGGAACUUUUAUAUAUUCUAGAUUCAUUACACGAAGUGAAAUAUUUCAAGCCUUUUUUUUUGCUUUAAUCUUGAAGAUUACGGUUUACAGCUCAUGGAAAUCUUCAUUUUUCUUUAAUUUUUUUUCUGUAAUUGUUCUUUGUAGUUUCGACGUUUCGUAAAUUAUAGAGGUGUAUAAUUAACUUAUUCUUCAUUUCUGCUAAGAUUUGGGUAAAUGGGACAAUUUGGGUAAUUUAAUAAUUU
ensembl:lncRNA